AUGGAGAGAGAAAGGGAGUGGGGUGAUCAGGACGCCAGCAGGGUCUCAGGACCCGUUUUUGUGCUGAGCCCUGAAGCUGUGAGCACAGAUACUCAGUACUUCGGCGCUGGCACCCGGCUGUUGGUGCUAGAGAUCCAGUACUUCGGGCCGGGCACGAGGCUCCUGGUGAUAGGCGCCACCCUGACCUUCGGGGCCGGCAGCCGGCUGACCGUGAUGGAUGACCUGAGCCAGGUGAGCCCACCCAAGGUGGCUGUGUUCGAACCAUCGGAAGCAGAGAUCGCCCGGACCCAGAAGGCCACGCUCGUGUGCCUGGCCACGGACUUCUACCCCGACCACGUGGAGCUGAGCUGGUGGGUGAACGGGAAGCAGGUCCAGACCGGGGUCAGCACGGACCCUCAGCCCUACAGGGAGGACCCCAGCCGCAAUGACUCCCGCUACUGUCUGAGCAGCCGGCUGAGGGUCUCGGCCGCCUUCUGGUCCAACCCCCGCAACCACUUCCGCUGCCAAGUCCAGUUCCACGGGCUCACGGACGAGGACGAGUGGCCCAAGCAGGACAGGCCCAAACCCAUCACCCAGAACCUCAGUGCCGAGGCCUGGGGCCAAGCAGAUUGUGGUGUCACCUCGGUGUCCUAUCAUCAAGGCGUCCUGUCUGCCACCAUCCUCUAUGAGAUCCUCCUGGGGAAGGCCACCCUGUAUGCUGUGCUGGUCAGCGCCCUGGUGCUGAUGGCCAUGGUUAAGAAAAAGGAUUCCUGAGACCAGCUCCAAAAGUGCAUCCUGUGUUGUUCUUAGUCUUCACCCUGGAUUCUCCUUAAUGUUUCCAGUCUGCAUUCCUAAAGAGCUUCUCUCUCUCCACCUCUUAUUCUCCUUCCCACACGGAUGUCUGUCCCUUCUCUCAGCUUCCCUGCAGACUGAGUGCCUCACCACUGAAUCUGAAAUUGACUAAAGCAAUAAAGGUGUCAUG